UACGUAGGGGGCAAGCGUUGUCCGGAAUCAUUGGGCGUAAAGAGCGUGUAGGCGGCCCGGUCAGUCGGUUGUGAAAGUCAAGGGCUCAACCCUUGAAUGCCGACCGAUACUGCCGGGCUAGAGUCCGGAAGAGGCGAGUGGAAUUCCUGGUGUAGCGGUGAAAUGCGCAGAUAUCAGGAGGAACACCAACGGCGAAGGCAGCUCGCUGGGACGGUACUGACGCUGAGACGCGAAAGCGUGGGGAGCAAACAGG
rnacentral:rRNA from 1 species